rnacentral:sRNA from 12 species
GACCUAAACUGAGUACGGCUCGGCAUGGUUUAGAAAGCAACGGAAAGAAAAAGCUCGUCAUGAGUACUUCUUUCCGUUGUCAUGGCUCGAAAGGGCUAUGGGUAGCCGCAAGGCUGCC